CAGUAGCCGCGGUAAUACGAAGGGGGCUAGCGUUGUUCGGAUUUACUGGGCGUAAAGGGUGCGUAGGCGGACUGAUAAGUCAGGGGUGAAAUCCCAAGGCUCAACCUUGGAACUGCCUUUGAUACUGUUAGUCUUGAGUUCGAGAGAGGUGAGUGGAACUGCGAGUGUAGAGGUGAAAUUCGUAGAUAUUCGCAAGAACACCAGUGGCGAAGGCGGCUCACUGGCUCGAAACUGACGCUGAGGCACGAAAGCGUGGGGAGCAAACAGGAUUAGAUACCCCCGUAGUCCCUGUCUCUUAUAC
rnacentral:rRNA from 1 species